AGAGUUUGAUCAUGGCUCAGAUUGAACGCUGGCGGAAUGCUUUACACAUGCAAGUCGACGGCAGCACGGGGGCAACCCUGGUGGCGAGUGGCGAACGGGUGAGUAAUACAUCGGAACGUGCCCAGUCGUGGGGGAUAACUACGCGAAAGCGUAGCUAAUACCGCAUACGAUCUACGGAUGAAAGCGGGGGAUCGCAAGACCUCGCGCGAUAGGAGCGGCCGAUGGCAGAUUAGGUAGUUGGUGGGGUAAAGACUCACCAAGCCUUCGAUCUGUAGCUGGUCUGAGAGGACGACCAGCCACACUGGGACUGAGACACGGCCCAGACUCCUACGGGAGGCAGCAGUGGGGAAUUUUGGACAAUGGGCGCAAGCCUGAUCCAGCCAUUCCGCGUGCAGGAUGAAGGCCCUCGGGUUGUAAACUGCUUUUGUACGGAACGAAACGCGCUGAGCUAAUACCUCGGCGUAAUGACGGUACCGUAAGAAUAAGCACCGGCUAACUACGUGCCAGCAGCCGCGGUAAUACGUAGGGUGCAAGCGUUAAUCGGAAUUACUGGGCGUAAAGCGUGCGCAGGCGGUUAUGUAAGACAGAUGUGAAAUCCCCGGGCUCAACCUGGGAACUGCAUUUGUGACUGCAUAGCUAGAGUACGGUAGAGGGGGAUGGAAUUCCGCGUGUAGCAGUGAAAUGCGUAGAUAUGCGGAGGAACACCGAUGGCGAAGGCAAUCCCCUGGACCUGUACUGACGCUCAUGCACGAAAGCGUGGGGAGCAAACAGGAUUAGAUACCCUGUAGUCCACGCCCUAAACGAUGUCAACUGGGUUGUUGGGUCUUCACUGACUCAGUAACGAAGCUAACGCGUGAAGUUGACCGCCUGGGGAGUACGGCCGCAAGGUUGAACUCAAGGAAUUGACGG
rnacentral:rRNA from 1 species